GACGUAGGAGGCGAGCGUUUGUCCGGAGUUACUGGGCGUAAAGCGCGCGCAGGCGGCCCUGUGCGCUGCCGGUGAAAGCUCCCGGCUUACCUGGGAGAGGUUCGGCAGGACGGCAGGGCUGGAGGGUGGGAGAGGUCGGUGGAAUUCCCGGUGUAGUGGUGAAAUGCGUAGAUAUUGGGAGGAACACCAGUGGCGAAGGCGGCUCACUGGACCGGUACUGACGCUGAGGCACGAAAGCGUGGGUAGCAAACAGG
rnacentral:rRNA from 1 species